rnacentral:rRNA from 2 species
UACGUAGGGUGCGAGCGUUGUCCGGAAUUAUUGGGCGUAAAGAGCUCGUAGGCGGUGUGUCACGUCGGCCGUGAAAACCUGCAGCUUAACUGUGGGCGUGCGGUCGAUACGGGCAUCACUGGAGUUCGGCAGGGGAGACUGGAAUUCCUGGUGUAGCGGUGAAAUGCGCAGAUAUCAGGAGGAACACCGGUGGCGAAGGCGGGUCUCUGGGCCGAUACUGACGCUGAGGAGCGAAAGCGUGGGGAGCAAACAGG